GCUGUUUACCUAUGUAUGCAUUACUCAACUUUGUUGGCUGUUUUUUGCGUGUAAAAAUUUGUUUACUUUCCACUACUAUAUUGCCAUUACUUACGAGGCUGUGAAAUUCAUAUUGUUGUAAAAAUACUAUUUAUGUUCACUCAGUCAAUUUUGUAAUUCCCUUUUUUUUUAGAAAAAAAAAACAUUUUAGUUUUUCCGCUAGGGUUAAUUUGGCCUCUGGCAACCCCUUCCCCCUUUGAAGUAGCCAUAUAAAAAGCGAAUCGUGUGCUCAAAUAGUCCUCUCUGACAACGUAGCAUAGCAAACCUAUUUCCUCUCCUCGUUUUCGGUCUUUUUGUCUCUACUGCAUUUCUUGGUCGCCGCCAUCAAACUUCUCUUGAAAUGGACAAGCCCAACGUUCUCGCCCGUGUCACCAAAGUUUUGGGCCGAACUGGUUCCCAGGGACAGUGUACCCAGGUAAAUUUUGUGAAAAAAGAAUAAUUGUAUGUUUUAUCUAAUGAAUAACCAUUGUACUUGACUAGGUUAAAGUGGAGUUUUUGGGAGAAC